rnacentral:tRNA from 1 species
GUUAUUUUGGCAGAUUAGUGUGUUAGAUUUAGAAUCUUGGAAUGUAAAUGUAGAUUUACAAAUAACA